CGUUUCAAGCCUAAAAGCCACUUGUAGGAUUAGCAGAUCCAUUCUGGGCAUCUCUGCCAAAUGAUGUCCCCGCAACAUCCCCAUUAACUCUUUGUCCCCAAGUUGCCUGGCCCUGCCCUGCCCUGCCCUUGGGCCUGACCCUGGCGCCCAGCCCCACCCCGGGGCCGCAGCAGUUCCCCUUCCCCGGCUCCCAAGGCACACCCAGAGGCCUCGGUGAGCAGCUCCUCCUCCCCCACAAUCCCGCUCAUCGGUGGGAACCAGCUUGGUCAGAAGGCAGCUCCCCCGCCAGGUUCACUCCAGCCCUCUCUGCCCACGUCCCUCCUGCAGCCGACCAGGGUUCUAGGGCCUUCACCCCCGCCCGGGCCUCCCGCCCGUCUGUCCCUCACCCGGCGGAGGCUGAGCGGGCGACGGAGGCACUGGAGGGCGCGGGCCGCUGCUGUUGAUGAUGUAGUGGGAGACGCGCGAGUUUUCGGAGACGCUGAGCACAUAGUCCCCGGGGCUGGUG
rnacentral:lncRNA from 1 species